UGCUGCAAAACCAAAAUUGGUAAAGGUGCCGCCAACAAAGAAGGCAGCCACAAAACCCAUGGUGCCCCAUUAGGUGCCGAAGAAAUCGCAGCUACCCGCAAAGCCUUAAACUGGGCACAUGAACCA
rnacentral:snoRNA from 1 species